AUAAUUUGAUGGGGACAUCCGAUAAAAUUGGAACAAUAUAGAGAAGAUUAGCAUGGCCCUACGCAAGGAUGACACACACAAAUUUUGCAAUGAAUAUAAAACAU
rnacentral:snRNA from 1 species